GCCAGUGUGGUAUGGUGGUUUGAACAUUGGACUACCACUCUGAACACCAAGGUUUGAUUCCCUGCUCCGCCA